CCUACGGGAGGCAGCAGUGGGGAAUAUUGCACAAUGGGGGAAACCCUGAUGCAGCGACGCCGCGUGAGCGAAGAAGUAUUUCGGUAUGUAAAGCUCUAUCAGCAGGGAAGAAAAUGACGGUACCUGAGUAAGAAGCUCCGGCUAAAUACGGGCCAGCAGCCGCGGUAAUACGUAGGGAGCAAGCGUUAUCCGGAUUUACUGGGCGUAAAGGGAGCGUAGGCGGAAUGCCAAGUCAGCGGUAAAAUCGCGGGGCUCAACCUCGCUCCGCCGUUGACACUGGCGUUCUUGAGUGGGCGAGAAGUAUGCGGAAUGCGUGGUGUAGCGGUGAAAUGCAUAGAUAUCACGCAGAACUCCGAUUGCGAAGGCAGCAUGCCGGCGCCCCACUGACGCUGAAGCACGAAAGCGUGGGUAUCGAACAGGAUUAGAUACCCUUGUAGUC
rnacentral:rRNA from 1 species